GGGAAAAUACUGCGAUACUCUGAGGACACUCCAGCAGCAUCUCUAAAGAAGUCCAGACUGCAGCUCCACAUAGUGGAAGAGGAUGAAGAUGAGCCAGGAUAAUUACCUCAAAACACUAACAAGACUCCAGCAGAAGCAACAUCCAGCGCAGCCGAAGCAAAGCAUCAGAGGAAGAGGACAUGGGCCACUUUUGUAGCCUCACAUAGUGGGACAAGAACACCAGGCACUGGCUCACCAAAGAGGAAGAGGAUGAAGAUGGACCCAGAGGAGGUGGAGAAAAAAACAAAGGUGUCCAACAACUCUCACCAGGCUUCAUCUAGCAUGUCCAAAGAGUCACAGCGUGACGAAAAAAACCCAGACUGCUCAUCUCCAGACAUGCCGAGGAAGAGG